UUUAAUGGCCGCGGUAUUUUGACCGUGCUAAGGUAGCAUAAUCAAUAGUUUUUUAAUUGAAAGCUGGAAUGAAGGGUUGGAUAAAAAAAUAACUGUCUUUAUUUAAUUUAAUUAGAACUUUAUUUUUAAGUUAAAAAGCUUAAAUUUGGUUGAAAGACGAGAAGACCCUAUAGAGUUUUAUAUUUAUUUAUAUUAAUAUCUUAAGAAUUUAUUUUAUUAAAAUAAAUAAUUAUUGGAUUGGGGUGAUUAAAAAAUUUAAUUAACUUUUUUUAUAUUUGUACAUUUAUAAAUGAUUAAUUGAUCCAUAUUUAAUGAUUAUAAGAUUAAAUUACCUUAGGGAUAACAGCGUUAUUUUUUUUGAGAGUU
rnacentral:rRNA from 1 species